ensembl:lncRNA
CUCCCGUGACGGCGCCGAUAAAAGUUCCAGCAGGUACCUCCCUACGAAGCCCCGCAGACCUUAAGCUUCUUGGCAGCAAGGUCUCGCUCCAGUGUUUGGUUUGUUUCCACUGCCGGAUGGAACAAUUCCUGCAAAUGGGUGCUUGUCGAAGGUGGGGCUGAUGGUGACAGUAGUGUUCUGAAUGGGCCAAGUGAUUGUUUGGAGAAGGCUGAACUGAGUGUUUCUCGUCAGUCAAAAAGGCAGAGAUGAAGCCUGGGAAAUCAUCACAUCUAAAGGAUUUACUUGGAGUA